AUUGGUCCAAAGAGAUCAUUUGUAAUUCUUUGCUAUUAAUUAUAGUAAAUUCUUUAUCUCUUCCCAUGGCUUUUCUGGAUUCGAGUUUCCUCGUAAAUCUUGUUUUCUUUAUGAUCCAUUAUUUUCAUAUUGCUCAUAUCAUUCUCGUGAUCGAGUUAUUCAUGGUAAUUCGAACAAUAAUAUUGGAAAAUCUUCCAAUAGCUUGGGUGGAGCUAGUUGUAAUCUUAUUGAUUAUGUUGCUCAUGGUGAUUUGAUCAUUUUUGACAAUUCAAGUGGAGUUGGAAGUGCUCAUGGUGAUUUGAGCAGUUUUGGUGGUUCGACUGGAGCUAGAAGUGAACUAGAUGAUUUAAGUAAGGUUGGGGCGCAAGUUAAUUAUGCUUGUAAGCAGGGCUUAGAAUUUGUUUUCAUAGUUGUUGAAUGUGUUUAGAGGGGCAUGUUGGAAG
rnacentral:lncRNA from 1 species